rfam:Enterocytozoon bieneusi H348 ctg01_1162, whole genome shotgun sequence.
CAAAGUAGCUCGAGGGGAGGAACCACUCCGAGAGUAUAAGGGCAAAGCUUGCUUUAGUUAUUAAUGUAAAUUAAUAAUACUGGAAACAGGGGCCUAGAGAUCCUCUAUGAAACUAAGCAUAGAGGUGACGGAAAAGUUACCACAGGGAUAACUGGCUUGUGGCGGCCGAGCGUCCAUAGCGACGCCGCUUUUUGAUUCUUCGAUGUCGGCUCUUCCGAGCAUGGUGGAGUAUCAGCCACCAAGUGUGUGAUUGUUCACCAACUAACAGGGAACGUGAGCUGGGUUUAGACCGUCGCGAGACAGGUUAGUUUUACCCUACUGCAUCGCGUCCGAGAGUAGGUCGGGGCAGUACGAGAGGAAGUGCCGAUCAGAACCGCUGGUGAUACUUUCGUCUGUUAAGGCGCGAAGUGUAGCUACGUUCUUCUUAUAAUAGCUGAAAGCCUCUAAGCUAGAAUGAGUACUUAAGGACGCAAAGAUAUGAAGACUACAUAUGUAAGGAUGAGGGUUGUACGAUAUAAGCUUCUGCGAGUAUUUCAGACCACUUAUUUCCUUUUUUAGAACAUGCUUGCUCGGAUACAUACAGGAAUUCCGGGGAAAGGAAAAAUUUAUUUUUU